rnacentral:rRNA from 1 species
ACACUGACGUCGCGACGCAUAUCAAUAAGCGGAGGAAAAGAAACUAACAAGGAUUCCCUUAGUAACGGCGAGUGAAGCGGGAAGAGCUCAAAUUUGAAAUCUUCAAGGUUCUACCUUGACGAAUUGUAGUUUAAAGAAGUGUUUUCUGUUAGUGGAGUGGCAAAAGUUCUUUGGAAUAGGACAUCAUAGAGGGUGAGAAUCCCGUAUUCGGUCAUUCCUUCUAGCUUUGUGAUACACUUUCAAAGAGUCGGAUUGUUUGGGAACGCAGUCCAAAAUGGGUGGUAAAUUUCAUCUAAAGCUAAAUAUUGGCGAGAGACCGAUAGCGAACAAGUACCGUGAGGGAAAGAUGAAAAGAACUUUGAAAAGAGAGUUAAACAGUACGUGAAAUUGUCAAAAGGGAAGCGUUUGACACCAGUGUUGUUUUUCCGAAAAUCAAUUAUAAAUGUUUUGUUUCUGAGGAGUGAUGACUUCAUCGGCUUCCUUCUCUCUUCACGAAACUUUUGUAAUGCACUUUUCGGUUAACAAGUCAACAUCAAUUUCUUUUGUUGUAAAAGAGUAUUCGGAAGGUGGCUUUCUUUUCGGAGAAAGUGUUUAUAGCCCUAUACUUCUACAAUCGGAGAGAUUGAGGUCUGCAGCGUAGAUCCUUCGGGGUUAGAUACACUUGUGCUAAGUUGUAGCUUUUCAUAGACAACUUGUUGACUAUGUUAGUCAUUGUAGGCUUACUCGCUUGUGCUAUUUUACCUACGCUUAGGAUGUUGAGUCGUAGAGCACGCAG